GAUGAACGCUGGCGGCGUGCUUAACACAUGCAAGUCGAACGAAGCAUUUGCGACAUUUUUUUUCGGACUGAAGUUGCUUAUGACUGAGUGACGGACGGGUGAGUAACGUGUGGGUAACCUGCCUUGUACUGGGGGAUAGCAUCAGGAAACAGCAGGUAAUACCGCAUAAGCGCCCAUUGUUGCAUGACGUGGUGUGGAAAAGUCUGGUGGUAUAGGAUGGACGCGCGUCUAAUUAGAUAGUUGGUGAUAUAACAGCACACCAAGGCGACGAUCAGUAGCCGAGCUGGGAGCGUGACCCGCCACUAUGGGGGUGAGACACAGCCCAGACUCCUACGCAAGGGAGGAGAGGAGAACAGAGCACAAUGGAGGAAGCUCUGAUGCAGCGACGACGCGUAAGUGAAGAAGUGAUUCGUUAACUAAUGCUCUAUCAGCAGGGAAGAUAGCGACGGUACCUGACUAAGAAGCACCGGCUAACUACGUG
rnacentral:rRNA from 1 species